rnacentral:lncRNA from 1 species
AAAAAAAGCAGAAAGAUAAAUCAGGACCAAAAAAGAAAACAAAAUACAUCAAAGCAACUAACGUAUUUGUAAGCAUGUCCUCCGUAACGACCUGUUGGCAGGUUUCUUGAACAAUAAUAAACUUAAUAACAAAAUUGGUGGUAACCUUACAUUACUCAUUAGCUUACCAUUUGAUGAUGAGAUAUUGAUUGAUGCACGUCCACAAGAGAACGAUUGACAAAAGCGUAUGAGAAACUCCACCUUUUAAAAAGUGUAAUAGUUAUAGCAGAAAAUGGAGUAAGAGAGGCCCCACUGUUGUUGCCACGUCUGUACCAGAAAGGGACUCCUGUGUCUUGGGCUACAAAUAUCUCAGAAAUGAUAUAAUGAUGGAAUGCUCACAUAUGUUCAUCAGUCUGGAGUCUGAAAACGAUUCUACUUUUUUAAAAGGUAAGAAACCCUGAAGGGUGAAAUUUGCCAGAUGUUUGACCUUUGAAAUGAAUGGUCCAGCUGAAUAUUCUUUUUCUGUACUUAUGGAGAGAAUGACUGGGAUUUCAUAAGAGGUUCCAUUUGGGAGUCUUGGCCCGCAUGUAAGAAGUUCAGGUACCCUGAGAUCACCACUCUGAAGAGAUCAGCUGCAGGUGCUCCAGUCGACAGUCUCAGCUGAGCCCAGCCUUCCAGUCUU